rnacentral:snRNA from 1 species
GGAUGUGAGGGUGAUCUGGCUGCGACAUCUGUUACUCCACUGACCGCUAGGGUUGAUUUGGCUGAUCUGGCUGGCUAGGUGGGUGUCCCCAUCCUCCCACACUGCUUGCUCCAUGUUCUCCUGAAGCUGUGUGCUUGAUGGAAGAGGAUGACCUUCCCCAAUAGAGGAGGACCGUUCUUCGGUCAAGGGUAUACAAGAAGCUGCACUCCCAGCUAGAAACUCCAAACAAGCUCUCUAAGAGAAAAGGGAAUAGUUAUCUGAAAUAGGGAACCACUUCCACAUAAAGUAUAU